AUGGCACACAAACUAAAGAUCAGAAACUGCAUUCUAAUGUGCACAUAUCUGCUGGCGAUGCUGUCUGGAUGGGAUGCUCUCUCGUGCUGCAGAAGAGAUUUCACCAACGGAUCGUCCUCCUGUGAGCUGAGUGAUCCCCCAGACCAGAGCUGUGACACGCACUGGAGCGCUGACGGUAUAGCGGUGGUUGACGAGUCUGGAGGGGUGGAUGAGAGCAGAGUUCAUCAUGCAGGAUCUCAGAGCAUCGUUCUGAGAGGAAAACACACUGAUGUGAUCUUCUGGAUGGACUGUGCUCCACCGAAGGUCAGGAGUUCUGUUCAGUCCAUUAUAAACACUGUCAUCAAAUAUAUAAAACCGCACGUGUUUCUCAUGUCUUCUCACCUGCGUCUCUCUGCAGAAUUCUGUGCGGCUGUAUUGUAACGGUGAGUGCAAAAAUAAUUCAGUGUAUGAAAGUCAAAUCUGUGCUGUUUCAUUUUAACAGAUUUCUGUAUUGAAAUAUAUAAUUUCGGGGUCGGUAAGAUUAUUAUUAUUUUUUUUAAAUUAGUCACUUCUUUUCACCAAGGCUGCAUUUAUUUGAUCAAAAAUACAGUAAAAACAGUGAAAUAUUAUAACAAUUUCAAACAGCUGUUUUCUAUGUGAAUAUGUAUUAAAGUGUAAUUUAUUUCUGUGAUGUGCAGCUGUAUUUUCAGCAUCAUUACUCCAGUCUUCAGUGUCACAUGAUCUUCAGAAAUCAUUCUAAUGAUUCAAGAAACAUUUCUGAUUAUUAUCAGUGUUGAACACAGUAUUUGAUGCUCUAAUAUUUUAGUGGAAACUGUGAUACAUUUUAUUUUUCAGGAUUCAAUAGAAAGUUCAAAAUUACUUAUUUGGAACAGAAUUCUUUGGUAACAUUAUAACUGUCUUUACUGUCACUCUUGAUCAAUUUAAUGCAGCCUUGAUGAAUCAAAGUAUUAAUUUACCAUCCAGUCUUUGAAUGGUGGUAGGGUAAAAUAUAUUAUGGGUAUUUAAUUAGAUAAUAUCAAUGUCAAUAUAACAAAUAUAAGUCUUUACAGUACAUCAUGAGUGAUGAUUGUAUAGAUGAGCUUAUAUUCAGCAUGACUGAGCUGUGUUAUUAUCUGUUCCAUCAGAUCUCUGCCGAUCUUCUCCAGGUGAGUCUGAUGAGAGUGUAAGAAUUAUGACACGGCUCUCUGAAAAAAAAGAUCUAAAUACUUCAUUCACACUUAAAAUAUCAUUUAUUAUAAAGAAAGAUGCAACAAGUUAUGAAAUAAUAAAACAAUGUGUGUUUUUUGUUUGUUUUUCA
ensembl:lncRNA